rnacentral:tRNA from 1 species
AGGGGAGUAAGUUCAACGGUAGACUGCCGGUCUCCAAAACCGGACGUGGGGGUUCGAAUCCCUCCUCCCCUGCCA